GCUCAGACAGGAUCAGACGUUUAUAAAACAAGUGAAUAUGCACAAACUGUGGGAGAAACACACCUUCCCAGCAAUCGAAAAUCUCUAUAAAAGUGCAUUUUGCCUGCAACUGUCUCUUCCUGAGCUGGUCCUUGGAUCAGGGUCUGGGGCAUUGCUCGAUGGCAGCCCCAGAGACACCUGGGCCAGGAGGGAGGCAUGAGCCAUCAUGGAGCUCCAGGCCACCACACCUCUCCCCCAGAGCUCCAGGAGUGGACCGCUCCAUUGCACAGGAAGCUUGUCCUGGGAAUGGGCCAGUGUGCUGGGAAUGGCAGAGAGGAAGAAGAGCCAUCCAAUAGGCAGGAGAAGGGAAUCAUCCUGGUAGCUGAAGGUGCUGCUAAAUAAAUACUGAGUCUGGCCCUCAGCCUUUGACCUUCAGGCUCGCCCCACUCUCCUUCCUCCCGGCUGGGGCUGAGGGAAGAGAAGCCCCCACCAGUGCUCUGAAAACACCAUCACCUAUGCCGUUUCCCCACAUGAUUACAGGACAUCUCUGGUGAGGGUGACACACAGAAAGGAGCGGGACUCUAGAGGCCAUCUCAGGAAGAAGCCUGUCAAUGUGCUGGACACUGAGGAGACAGGAGCCUGCCCCAGGGUUCUGGUUUGAGGAUGAGACAGUGAAGGCGGACCAUGGGAGUCAACAGCUCUGAGGCUGGAAAGGUCACAGGGGGAGGUAGAGAGGAAGAGGCCCAGAGGCCAGCUUAAUGUGACACGUGAAAACCAAACCCAACAGGAGCUAGUUAGCCUUUCAGCUCUGUGCAUGCGUGGGCACACACGUGCACACACGCACACAGCCCCACGCACGUCACACACACACACACACACACACACACACACAGGUGCACGCUCUGUGGCUCAAAGUGUAGGCCACGGGGUGGAAGGAAGACUUGCUCUAGCUGGCCACAUAGGCCUUCUCAUGGCUUUCCUCAGCACAGGCCUGUGACAGUGCGGGAGCAGAGGCCCAGGCCAUCCCUGGAAUGCAGGCCUGGCUGCUCUGGUGCAGACCCCUGCCUAUUGCCUCUGGAAGGGAUGGUGUGCUGGGUGUGAGUGCCUCUGGCAGUCCCCACCCAGUCCCUCUGUCAGCUGUCUCCUGGGACAGCUGACACGCUGCUGGAUAUGGACCAGCCCGUGGCAGGCCCUGGAAGCCUACAGAACAAUGAUGAGCCGGCCUCCCUGGCUGGCCGUCAGCUGUCCUCACUGAGCACCGUGAAGUCCUGCGAGUGUGGCCACCUGGCCUAGUCUCCUGGUGGAGGGACUAGCUCUCGGAGGCCAGCCCCUGCACAGCUCCUGGGUAGGCUCUGCACUGGCUUUCAGCUUCUGGGGGUGGAACAGUGACAGCUGGGAUUCUGUUCCUCACUUUGGGGUCCAAGCCUGAAAGGGCAGAUGUGUUUCCUUGGCUACUACACCAGUCAGGGAUCUGGGCAUACUUCCAUCUGAGCGCAGGAGACUUUCCAGAGAUCUGUCUAGAGCCUUGUCCUCAGUCCCAGAUGAGGAUCGGUGGCAGGGAUUUUAAAAUAGGAGAGAAGACAGGCCAGGUGGCUACGUCUGGGCAGCACCCACCCGUUCAGCCUGCCCCGUCUCCUGCGUCCAAGUGGGAACUCAGCAGGACUCCGGCCGCCACUAGAAUCCUGUGCUUUGGACAAGAGCCGCUUGAAAUGUGGGCCUUCUGCUCUUCCCCAGCAGGGUCCUUCUACUGCGUCCUACUCAGACAAGGUGGAAGGUCAGGGCCAUGACCUCUAGCCUUAGGUUUGGAGGCCAGGUGGCUGCUCCAGGCACUCCUCCAGCCCAGGCAACACUCAGGAUCAUGAGUGUAAAUAUGUAUACGUGCACACACACACACACACACACACACACACACACACACACGCUCUGUCUCCGUCGGUGAUCAGCUUCUUCAGCUUCUUGGUGGGUUGCACUCUGGCCCACAGUAGCUGCUUGGGCACCCAGGCUUUGCUCAUGGAGCAGUGGCUCUGCAACUGGAAGAGAAAAACAAGAGCUAAAGGAACAUUCGGGAGGCUGCUUGGUUGCCAGAGACUCGAGCUCCUCUGGCUGCUUCCCUGGGGACCCUGACACUGGGAACUGGGAUGAAUUGGCAGAGUGAGCUGCGUGGGCUCCUGGGGACAGGGCUGACUGAACACUGCCCUUCAAAGUGCCAGCUAGAGGACCAGAGAUUUAGCUCAGUGGUUCUGC
ensembl:lncRNA